GACGAACGCUGGCGGCGUGCUUAACACAUGCAAGUCGAACGAUGAAGCAAAGAAUUGAAGCUUCGGCAGAAAUUCAUUUCGGAUUAGUGGCAGACGGGUGAGUAACGCGUGAGCAACCUACCUCUUACAAAGGGAUAGCCUCGGGAAACCGGGAUUAAUACCAUAUAACAUUGCGACGAAACAUUUCGAUGCAAUCAAAGCUACGGCGGUAAGAGAUGGGCUCGCGUCCCAUUAACCAGAUGGUGAGGUAACGGCUCACCAUAGUAACGAUGGGUAACCGGCCUGAGAGGGUGAACGGUCACACUGGAACUCAGACACGGUCCAGACUCCUACGGGAGGCAGCAGUGGGGAAUAUUGCACAAUGGAGGGAACUCUGAUGCAGCGACGCCGCGUGAGUGAUGAAGGAAUUCGUUUCGUAAAACUCUGUUCUAUGGGAAGAAAAGGACUGUACCAUAGGAGAAAGCUCCGGCUAAAUACGUG
rnacentral:rRNA from 1 species